ACAACCUCGUGGAGAGGAGGUUUCUCGAAAUGCACAUCCAGCCCAGCAAGUGGAUUCUGGCCGUCUUACCCUGGUGUGAAUAAGCGUCAUCCUGCUGUGGUCAACCUAGAAAUAAAAUCCACUCUGAACAGGGGUCUUCUGAGCAGCGUCCGCACGAGGAAGCCAAGGGCAGGAGAGUCGGCCGGGCCAGUGAGGCUGUAGCCCCCAUCCCAACCCAUGGAGGCUUGCAGCGGCCAUCACACAGUACCCCUGCUUUGGGAGAGUCACCUGGACAGCAGCCCCCUGGGAAUUCUGCGAGAGGACGGGUCUCUGUUGCCUUAUGUAUGUGGGGCCCUCCUGCCUGAGCUCCAAAGCACGCCCGGCUCUGGAUUCCGAUUUCCUACUGGUGCCUUCUGCCAACCUCCCAGGACACCCUGGAAGCCUGGACUGAGAAUGGCUGGACACUUGCAUGGAAAGCCCACCUUUCUCUCUGAACAUUCCUCAGCCACCAAGGCUGCUGCCCUUUGCUCAUCCUGGCCAGUCCACGGGGACACGACGUUGCACCGGGCAUGGGCUCCUUGCUGUCUCAGAGGGACUGGCCAUGCAGAGCCGGUUUUCCUAGACGUUCAUCCAACAAUCCUGAGGAUUGUUCUCUGCAGAAUGCUUGAAAGCACUCGCCUAAUGCUAAACAACCCUCAUAUUGUCCCAAUACUGUCUUCUUUCUUUACCUGACCAGAAAUUUCCACCAUGGACAGAUUCUUGCAUGUUGCUGGGAGUUGGGAGUGCAGGGGGGGUGUGGGGGGCAGCUGUGUGGGGGGCACCCAGAGGAGAAGGUUGGCCAAACUUUAAGAAGCCAGGGGCACCCUUCCCGGCUGCACCCAGGGUCAGUCCCAGCCCUUGAAGUGAGCGGGGGUGAGACUGGAUUCAUUCCUCUCUGUGCUUGUUAGUUUUAAUUUGUUAAUUUUGUAUUUCAGCCAGAUACCCAGCUUCCCCCCAAGACCAGGCAUGUCAUAAAUGAUCGAGCGAAAUAAAUAAUGAAUAAAUGCCUCUCUCUCA
rnacentral:lncRNA from 12 species